UACGUAGGGUGCGAGCGUUGUCCGGAAUUACUGGGCGUAAAGAGCUCGUAGGUGGUUUGUCGCGUUGUUCGUGAAAACCGGGGGCUUAACCCUCGGCGUGCGGGCGAUACGGGCAGACUUGAGUACUGCAGGGGAGACUGGAAUUCCUGGUGUAGCGGUGAAAUGCGCAGAUAUCAGGAGGAACACCGGUGGCGAAGGCGGGUCUCUGGGCAGUAACUGACGCUGAGGAGCGAAAGCGUGGGGAGCGAACAGG
rnacentral:rRNA from 1 species